UUCUGUUUUUCGAUGAGCAUUCGUAGACCAAUUUGUGUACAUAUAUGUAUGCAGAAUCUGCAAUGAAGUAUCAUACGUGUGUGUACGCGUUACGAGUCUGUGUCUAUCUAACUAUCUAUCUAUCUAUCUGUUCGUCAGUUCGUUCGUUCGUUUGUUUGUCCAUUCGUCCGUCCAUCUGUACGCAGGUCCGCGACUGUCUUAUAUGCAAUUGUAUCUCAAUGAUGCAUGCAAUCUCAAUGAUGCAUACAUAGGCGUCUCGAGGGGAAGUAAGUCGUAUAGUAGAGGCGUAGAUCGGUUAUGUGGACGCGCGCGCGCCUUCCUUUCUCGGUGUCAAGUUAAGUCGAAGUGGAGAGAACGAUGACUGCAGUAUGGUAGUAGUUGUUGCUGCUGUUACUUCUUCGUCGUGCAUCGCGCGGCAGGCUUGCGGCAGUUGCGGCACGGCUCGUGCGGCAUGGCGCAUUCCAUUCGCUGUUCAUUUAAAAUAAUCAAUUGUAUUGUUUGUUAUUAAUAUUAGAUAUUUUGUGUUGGGUCCCAGAGGUUACUGAAACAAAAAAUCAACAAAUACGUUCACCAUCAACGAUUACAACUACGAUGAUGAUCGGCAAAAGGUUUACACCGAUCAAGAGCUGGAAAAAAUAUGUACAUAUACGACUCGUAUGAAGAUAAUGAAAGUAAAUAGUUAAAUGCUCGUUGCGACGGUGGGAUAAUACUGAACGUUGAUAAUUUUUAUUAUAAAGACAACACACUCUGGUAUUUCUUCCACAAAAUAAAUCAUGCACAUUAAAAGAGAACUGCGAUAAAGUGAAAAAAGGAGACAAAAGGCAAUGUGGGAAUCUCGCUUCGAAGAACAAAAUAUUUAUCAUUUCUCCGAAGAGUGCGAAGGUUGUGCACACACAUAUGUAUCGUAUCUCCAUAAAAGCGAAUGCACAAGUAUAUUCGUGAUUAGUCAUCGCGGCGAGCUAAUAUCGAGCUAAAAGCAGUCAAGGAAAGUUAAGACCGUGACUCACUCCUGCUACAGCUUACGCUUAUGCACCGUGGUCAUUAAAAACGAAAAUCGACUCCCAAUUUGAAGAAAUCACUUAUAUCUUGAAAA